GCUAAACGCGAAGAACCUUACCCAGACUUGACAUGCACUAGACCGCUUCAGAAAUGAAGCUUCCCUUCGGGGCGUGGUGCACAGGUGCUGCAUGGCUGUCGUCAGCUCGUGCCGUGAGGUGUUGGGUUAAGUCCCGCAACGAGCGCAACCCUUAUCAUUAGUUGCCAACACGUAAUGGUGGGAACUCUAAUGAGACUGCCUGGGUUAACCAGGAGGAAGGUGAGGAUGACGUCAAGUCCGCAUGGCCCUUAUGUCUGGGGCUACACACGUGCUACAAUGGUCGGUACAAAAGGCAGCGAAACCGUGAGGUGAAGCAAAUCCCGAAAGCCGGCCCAGUUCCAGAUUGUAGUCUGCAACUCGACUACAUGAAGAUGGAAUUGCUAGUAAUGGCGAGUCAGCAACAUCGCCGUGAAU
rnacentral:rRNA from 1 species